CCAGACUUGCCCUCCAAUUGUUCCUCGUUAAAGGAUUUAAAGUGUACUCAUUCCGAUUACCGGGCCUCGGAUGAGUCCGGUAUCGUUAUUUUUCGUCACUACCUCGGCCUUCGGCCAGUGGGUAAUUUGCGUGCCUGCUGCCUUCCGUAGAAGUGGUAGCCGUUUCUCAGGCUCCCUCUCCGGAAUCGAACCCUAAUUCCCCGUUACCCGUCAAAACCACUGUGGGCGUCUAUGCCACAGUCGACAGUUGAUAGGGCACACUUUGGGCUGAUCGCACGGACUCGUUCCGGCGACGUGUCCUUCCAAGGUGUGCCCUAUCAACUGUCGACUGUGGCAUAGACGCCCACAGUGGUUUUGACGGGUAACGGGGAAUUAGGGUUCGAUUCCGGAGAGGGAGCCUGAGAAACGGCUACCACUUCUACGGAAGGCAGCAGGCACGCAAAUUACCCACUGGCCGAAGGCCGAGGUAGUGACGAAAAAUAACGAUACCGGACUCAUCCGAGGCCCGGUAAUCGGAAUGAGUACACUUUAAAUCCUUUAACGAGGAACAAUUGGAGGGCAAGUCUGGUGCCAGCAGCCGCGGUAAUUCCAGCUCCAAUAGCGUAUAUUAAAGUUGUUGCGGUUAAAAAGCUCGUAGUUGGAUCUCGGCGGGCAGGGGGUGGUUCGCUCUUCAGCGCUACUGCCCCGCUUUGCCCGUGUGAUUGGCGGAGGUUUCGGGGUGCUCUUCGUUGAGUGACUCGGAGCGCCGUCAGGUUUACUUUGAAAAAAUUAGAGUGCUCAAAGCAGGCUUUUCACGCUUGAAUAUUCGUGCAUGGAAUAAUGGAAUAGGAACUCGUUUCUAUUUUGUUGGUUUUCGGAAAUCGAGUUAAUGAUUAACAGGGACAAUUGGGGGCAUUAGUAUUCAGACGACAGAGGUGAAAUUCUUGGACCGUCUGAAGACUGACUACUGCGAAAGCAUUUGCCAAGAGUGUUUUCAUUAAUCAAGAACGAAAGUUAGAGGUUCGAAGGCGAUCAGAUACCGCCCUAGUUCUAACCAUAAACGAUGCCAGCUAGCGAUCUGCCGAGUUUUUUUUGUAGGCUCCGCAGGAAGCUUUCGGGAAACCAAAGCUUUUGGGUUCCGGGGGAAGUAUGGUUGCAAAGCUGAAACUUAAAGGAAUUGACGGAAGGGCACCACCAGGAGUGGAGCCUGCGGCUUAAUUUGAC
rnacentral:rRNA from 1 species